UACGUAGGGUGCGAGCGUUAAUCGGAAUUACUGGGCGUAAAGCGGGCGCAGGCGGUUCGUUAAGUCAGCUGUGAAAGCCCCGGGCUCAACCUGGGAAUGGCGGUUGAAACUGGCGAACUUGAAUCUGGCAGAGGGGGGUGGAAUUCCACGUGUAGCAGUGAAAUGCGUAGAGAUGUGGAGGAACACCGAUGGCGAAGGCAGCCCCCUGGGCUGAGAUUGACGCUCAGGCACGAAAGCGUGGGGAGCAAACAGG
rnacentral:rRNA from 1 species